GAUGAACGCUGGCGGCGUGCCUAAUACAUGCAAGUCGAGCGAACAGACGAGGAGCUUGCUCCUCUGACGUUAGCGGCGGACGGGUGAGUAACACGUGGAUAACCUACCUAUAAGACUGGGAUAACUUCGGGAAACCGGAGCUAAUACCGGAUAAUAUAUUGAACCGCAUGGUUCAAUAGUGAAAGACGGUUUUGCUGUCACUUAUAGAUGGAUCCGCGCCGCAUUAGCUAGUUGGUAAGGUAACGGCUUACCAAGGCAACGUUGCGUAGCCGACCUGAGAGGGGGAUCGGCCACACUGGAACUGAGACACGGUCCAGACUCCUACGGGGGGCAGCAGUGGGGAAUCCUCCGAAGGGGGGGAAAGCCGGACGGAGCAACGGCGGGGGGGGGAUGAAGGGCUUCGGAUCGUAAAACUUUGUUAUUAGGGAAGAAAAAAUGUGUAAGUCACUAUGCACGUUUUGACGGUACCUAAUCAGAAAGCCACGGCAAACUCCGU
rnacentral:rRNA from 1 species